rnacentral:tRNA from 1 species
GGGCGUGUGGCGUGUCGGUGCGCGCUCUCCCGUAGCAUGGGAGAGGUCUCCGGUUCGAUUCCGGACUCGUCCA